UACAUGUAACUGCAAUACUGUUCAAAGUGGCAUUAAACCCAACUCACUCACUCACUCACUCACUCACUCACUCACUCACUCACUCACUCACUCAGCAUCAGUGAAGAUCAUAGUACUCUGUAUUUUUUGUGUGGAUUACUGGUUUACCAAGGGUAAUUUAAAAUGAAAAUACAAAUACAAUUUGUUUUGAAAACAUUUGAGGAGUUUCCCUCUCUUUUUCUUUCUCUGGUACAUUAAUCCCAUCCUCCUUUAUCCAGAGUAUUAUAUCGCCAUUCUAUUAUGAUAGAUACUCUGGUUCCAUUGGACACCUUAGAUUUGUCUGAUUUGAAUGAUACAACGCUGGAAAUAACCCAUUGAAUCAAGUGGUAUUUUUCUUUGAUGAUUAAAGGGGGCAUUGGUGGCCCAGUCGACUAAGGUGCUGCAAUUUUGUUGUACAAAGUUUUGUUCCAAAGAAAUCUUUAAUAAUGGGUUCAAAUCCGGUUCGUCCUGAUACUGUUUGUAGAUCUGUAAACACCAUACCCAUGCUCAUGGGUUACACCAAAGUGGUAUACAUCCAAGGCCUGCAUCAUUUCUGGCUUGCCACCCAUAUGGGAAUGACAAGUUAUGAUAUAACUGGAUUACUGUUCAAAGCUGCGUUAAACCCAACUUACUCACUCACUCGAUCAUUAAGGGCUUCUUUGAUGAGGGUUCUAGCAUGCCCAAGGGAUCCAACACUCUACAGCGAAUUGUGGCGCCUUAGGCGACUGGGUCACCUGCGCCCCAUGUCAAGGUUGAUGCUCUUAUACCAAGAUACUUAGAAGAAUUCUGCAGGUUAGAGUGUUCACCUGUACGCUGAAGACCUGGGUUAGAUAUAUUACAUGGGAACAACAUAAAAAGCCCAUUUCUGGUGUCCCCAUCUGUGGUAUUGCUGCAGGAUUAUUAAAAACAGAGUAAUGGCCUCACUAGCAUUGCCAGUAGAGGAAACUUUUUCCAUGAGGUCAAUUACAAUGCAAUGCAAUAAGAGGCGACUAACGGGAUCGGAUGGUCAGGCUUGCUGACUUGGUUUAUGCAUGUCAUCAUAUCCCCAUUGCAUAGAUCGAUGCUCAUGAUGUCAGUCACUGGAUUGUCUGGUCCAGAUUUGAUUAUUUGGAGACUGCCUUCAUAUAGCUGGAAUAUUGCUGCGUGUGGCGUUAAACAACAAACAAACAAACAAAACAAAAAUAAUAUUUCAAUCCAUUAUUCCAUCAGUGCCAUCAAUUGAGGGAGAUAGUUGAGAAGACAGAUCCAUUGCUUCCCAUGGUUUUGGUUACUUUUCAAGUUUCUUGGUUAUGUCAAUGUUGGUUUGUAGCAUUCUCAAGUAUUUUGGUUUCAGUACCAGACUGAGUCUUGUCAAACACCAAGAUUCUUUUCUUUGAUUGCUUCAGUUUACUUAUUCUCACUGUAUUGAUUUCUUUGUAAGUUUAAGAUCUCAUGAUUUGUUUGUACAUUCAAGAUCUCAUGAUUUGUUUGUAAGGUCAAGGUCUCGUUUUGUUUGUAAGGCCAAGGACUCAUGGUGUGUAAGGCCAAGGCCUCGUUUUGUUUGUAAGGCCAAAGACUCAUGGUUUGUAAGGUCAAGGUCACAUUUUUGUGCCCAGAUGUAAAUGGUAGCCAAACAACACAACUAAGUUUGAAAAAUUACUUGUGUUGACCGUUCAAAUGAAAACACAGGUUAGGUGUGAUGAUUGGUCCAUUGUAAGGUGUUGGAUCCAGUAUCUAAAUGUGCUUGUCGGAGCUUGUGUCAUAUGCCUGUCGUUUCAUUCAUAAGAGGUAAGACCACAGACCACAUGGGCUUUAGUCCUUGUUUUGGUUCAUUGUUGCCAUGACAGCAACUGUGUGAAUGUUGUAAUAAUAAGUGAAUCAUACCCGCUGUAUGAGAGAGUUGAUUGUGAAGAUAAUGUGCAUCUUUCGUUUUCCUUCACAUCAACAUUUGAUGCCUUGAUUUUGCUACAUGGCACAAAAUAUAUCAUGUGUACUUUUGUGCAUUUGUGCUAGUAUGCCAUUUCUGAUACUGAUGUUUGGAAUGAUGAAGAAUCUGCCUAUGACUAACAAAGCAUUUGUCAAAUGUCAGAGGAGUGUAGGUUUACUGUAACACUUGUUCACAUGUGAAAAAAACAAAAAUGCUCAAACAUUUUCUGAUUUGUGAAUGUGGCUGUGAAUGUGUUUAUUUUGUCAGUUUUUAAUAAACAUUUACAAUGUU